rnacentral:rRNA from 1 species
AGAGCGAACGCUGGCGGCAGGCCUAACACAUGCAAGUCGAGCGCCCAGCAAUGGGAGCGGCAGACGGGAUAGUAACACGUGGGAACGUACCUUUCAGUUCGGAACAACCCAGGGAAACUUGGGCUAAUACCGAAUACGUCCGUAAGGAGAAAGAUUUAUCGCUGAAAGAUCGGCCCGCGUCUGAUUAGCUAGUUGGUGAGGUAAUGGCUCACCAAGGCGACGAUCAGUAGCUGGUCUGAGAGGAUGAUCAGCAUCACUGGGACUGAGACACGGCCCAGACUCCUACGGGAGGCAGCAGUGGGGAAUAUUGGACAAUGGGCGCAAGCCUGAUCCAGCCAUGCCGCGUGGAUGAUGAAGGCCUUAGGGUUGUAAAGUCCUUUCGGCGGGGAAGAUAAUGACGGUACCCGCAGAAGAAGCCCGGCUAACUUCGUGCCAGCAGCCGC